UAAUCAGUAAAAGUGCUGUUUGUGUGUGAAAAUGCAAAAAAAAGACACUUUCACUGACGAUAUCAUCAUUGUGAUACGUUUUACUGUUUUGAAACAGUAAUAUUUGUGUUCAGUGAAGUCUCCUGAGUAUAGCAGUACCCUCCCAUGUACAGGUUUUAUGGUGUCUUGGAAAGUUACAGGAUUAAAUAUAGGGCUUGCAAACCAAAUUCUGGUGGAGCCAGCACCUGCAGAAGCUGGACGCACAUCAACGCAGCUCUUCAAGCUUACCUAGAUAUACCUGGCUAAUUCCGGUCAUCGGCCCGCUAUUGCUGAGCUCAGAGGCCACACCAUCCAGACGCCAAGCCAUAUGGGGAAAAGGAACAAAAAGCAAUGAGCAGACCUGGGCUUGGGACUCCAAGAUCUAGGAGUUUUCCUACGCACAACCCCGCGGCCUGAAUCUGCCAAGAUUGUGCCCGCUGAGGCC